UACGGGGGGAGCAAGCGUUAAUCGGAAUUACUGGGCGUAAAGCGUGCGCAGGCGGCUUUGCAAGACAGAUGUGAAAUCCCCGGGCUCAACCUGGGAACUGCAUUUGUGACUGCAAGGCUAGAGUACGGUAGAGGGGGAUGGAAUUCCGCGUGUAGCAGUGAAAUGCGUAGAUAUGCGGAGGAACACCGAUGGCGAAGGCAAUCCCCUGGACCUGUACUGACGCUCAUGCACGAAAGCGUGGGGAGCAAACAGG
rnacentral:rRNA from 1 species